rnacentral:rRNA from 1 species
UACGUAGGUCCCGAGCGUUGUCCGGAUUUAUUGGGCGUAAAGCGAGCGCAGGUGGUUUAUUAAGUCUGGUGUAAAAGGCAGUGGCUCAACCAUUGUAUGCAUUGGAAACUAGUAGACUUGAGUGCAGGAGAGGAGAGUGGAAUUUCAUGUGUAGCGGUGAAAUGCGUAGAUAUAUGGAGGAACACCGGUGGCGAAAGCGGCUCUCUGGCCUGUAACUGACACUGAGGCUCGAAAGCGUGGGGAGCAAACAGG